rnacentral:rRNA from 1 species
AGUGAACGCUGGCGGUAGGCCUAACACAUGCAAGUCGAACGGCAGCACAGUAAGAGCUUGCUCUUACGGGUGGCGAGUGGCGGACGGGUGAGGAAUACAUCGGAAUCUACUUUUUCGUGGGGGAUAACGUAGGGAAACUUACGCUAAUACCGCAUACGACCUACGGGUGAAAGCAGGGGAUCUUCGGACCUUGCGCGAUUGAAUGAGCCGAUGUCGGAUUAGCUAGUUGGCGGGGUAAAGGCCCACCAAGGCGACGAUCCGUAGCUAGUCUGAGAGGAUGAUCAGCCACACUGGAACGGAGACACGGUCCAGACUCCUACGGGAGGCAGCAGUGGGGAAUAUUGGACAAUGGGCGCAAGCCUGAUCCAGCCAUACCGCGUGGGUGAAGAAGGCCUUCGGGUUGUAAAGCCCUUUUGUUGGGAAAGAAAAGCAGCAGGUUAAUACCCCGCUGUUCUGACGGUACCCAAAGAAUAAGCACCGGCUAACUUCGUG